AAAACGAGACGAUCACAAGUUAAAGUGACUCAGAGGUGCGCCAAGCAAUGGUCGCAUGAGCAGCCUGGCCAGUGCUCCAAGGGGCAGGCUCCCCCCCAACCUGUGCUCCUCCUUCCCCCGACAUUCAGGGUGUGAAACUGCCCCCCCAUCUCUCCCAGGAGACAGUCCCCGGGAGCUCCCUCAGCAGAGCCCAUGCCCUGGCCCGGUGGCAAAGCGACUUGCCUUGACUGACUGGAAAGAAAGAUGAUGAUCAUGUAUAAUCUAAGCUGAAAUAAAACAAUUUGAAGUGAAAACUCCAAAGGUUGCGCUGAAAAGAAAUGUCGGCCAACCAGACGCCUGCUUGUGGGAAGUUGCCAUUUGCACCAAACAGCAUUUUUGGAUGGAAAAAACAGUCCCUUGGGCAACCGCUGUGCAGGUCGGCCGGGAAGGGGCGUGGAGCAGCCCCGGGGCUAGAUUUUUUUGGUGCCUACCUGCUAUGCUAGGAAACAAGAGACCCUUCCGCUGCAGCGCCCACCCCACGCCCAGCGUCUCCUCGUCGGCACCAGCCACCACGUGGGAGCAGGCGAUGCUGGCGAAGGCCCCGCGGUCCUGCAGCUGGAACU